rnacentral:rRNA from 1 species
UACAGAGGGUGCAAGCGUUGUUCGGAAUUAUUGGGCGUAAAGCGCGUGUAGGCGGCUUUGCAAGUCGGGUGUGAAAGCCCUCAGCUCAACUGAGGAAGUGCGCCCGAAACUGCAGAGCUUGAGUGCCGGGGAGGGUGGCGGAAUUCCCCAAGUAGAGGUGAAAUUCGUAGAUAUGGGGAGGAACACCGGUGGCGAAGGCGGCCACCUGGACGGUAACUGACGCUGAGACGCGAAAGCGUGGGUAGCAAACAGG